rnacentral:rRNA from 1 species
AUUGAGCGCUGGCGGCAGGCCUAACACAUGCAAGUCGAGCGGAUGAAGGGAGCUUGCUCCUGGAUUCAGCGGCGGACGGGGGAGUAAUGCCUAGGAAUCUGCCUGGUAGUGGGGGAUAACGUCCGGAAACGGGCGCUAAUACCGCAUACGUCCUGAGGGAGAAAGUGGGGGAUCUUCGGACCUCACGCUAUCAGAUGAGCCUAGGUCGGAUUAGCUAGUUGGUGGGGUAAAGGCCUACCAAGGCGACGAUCCGUAACUGGUCUGAGAGGAUGAUCAGUCACACUGGAACUGAGACACGGUCCAGACUCCUACGGGAGGCAGCAGUGGGGAAUAUUGGACAAUGGGCGAAAGCCUGAUCCAGCCAUGCCGCGUGUGUGAAGAAGGUCUUCGGAUUGUAAAGCACUUUAAGUUGGGAGGAAGGGCAGUAAGUUAAUACCUUGCUGUUUUGACGUUACCAACAGAAUAAGCACCGGCUAACUUCGUG